rnacentral:lncRNA from 1 species
GAUCAGUACCAAAUCAUCAGCACAAACAACCUUACCCGUCGUCAAAUGAAUAACAUCGACGAUAUAUUGACGGUUUCUUUAAUAGAUUUUGACCAUAAAUGGUCACUUGGUCAACCUGUAUUGUAAGUAAGGUUGCAAAUCACUCAUUUCAAAAAACGUUGACCUAUUCUGGUGGUUUGGUUGUCCUAUAUUCCUGCUUCUGCAUUGGUUAAACCAAUUAACCCCACCACACCAGAUGAAUGAUAUAACCGAAACUGAAGUUGAUAUUUUAUGUUGGUAUGGAUACAUUACAUAAAAAUAUAAUCUUAGAUGCUUGUCUGACCGUUCUUUUCAUUAAUUCUGCACCGUAAACAGGCUUAUUAUAAACAAGGCCGUUAGUUUUCUCGUUUGAAUUGUUUUACAUUGUCGUAUCGGGGCCUUUUAUAGCCGACUAUGCGGUAUGGGCUUAGCUCAUUGUUGAAGGCCGUACGGUGACCUAUGGUUGUUAAUGUCUGUGUCAUUUUUGUCUUUUGUGGACAGUUGUCUCAUUGGCAAUCAUACCACAUCUUCUUUUUUAUAUUAUUGCAGUAAUGUUACCGAUUGCUCAAUUUCAACUGCACUCAUUAUCUUCCAUAUCAAAUUGCCACAAAUCUCAAUGCAAAUAAUUUAUAUAUCGACUAUAAAAAAAUCUAUUUUCAAAAAUAUUGCACACGUGUCUAUAGUACAUUGUACAUAACAUUCAUAUAAACAAUCGCACAUCAUCAAAAGGACCAUCGGACUUUGGCGAAAACCUCCGCACUACAGGGUGACCGUUGCACUUCAGAGUUCCCAUCACACAUCCCAGUCCUUCAUAUGUUCUCAUUUAGAUAACCUUUGGUUAUAAAAGGCUAAAACCAUCAUUUGUGUCUUUACAUGUACCUCGUCUCAAAAUGUUUGAUCUGAAAAUUUGUAUAAGAAAAGUUUUGUUCUUCCCUCAACAGCAUUCGAAACCUAGUCUCUGCACGAGAUAACAUGGCAACAUCACCUGUUCUGUGUCCAGCGCCCUAGAGCUUGACCAAC